UCUCAUGUGGUCUAGUGGUUAGGAUUCCUGGCUUUCCUUGGCGACCCGGAGUUCGAUUCCCGGCAUUAGGAA